UGUUCCUCUUGAUCGGAUACCUCCAGCGUAAUAGGGUCAAAUCAAAUGACCCCUUGAAAGGGGUGGAGGGAAUGGAAAAGAAAUCCCAAACCACAGGAAAGCUGGCUUUAAGUGUGUAUGUGUGUGAGAGAAAGAGAGGAAAUUAAUUUCUGUGGCAGGAAGAAGUGGCCAGCGGAGUAAGAAAUGAAUUACCUACCCCCACCCCUGAGAUCAUAGAUAGUUUCCAACUUCCUCUGGGGCAUCAUGGAUUUCAGUGGCCAGGAAGAGAAUAGUGAAUGAUCUCAGGAGUAUUGGGUGGUACCGACUGCAGUCUCUAUGCAGGAUUAAGAUAUUCCACUAGGGAAGGGGCAAUUCCUCUGUAUGUGUGUGCGCGUGUGCGUGUGUUUGCGCGUGUUUUAACAGCUUUUGAAAAAUUGUAUGCUGUUAACAACUAUUAACAGCAGUUGUUAAGGCUUGCAUGUGCUCAUCAACUAGUGGCAAUAUAUACUGUAGUUGGCCUCUAGCUGCGGAAAUCUUUCCCAAUGGCGCCAGCUAAAACAUCAAGCAUUUCCACAAAUAUUGUAAAACAUCUACUAGUUUGCAUUGGUUUUUGAAGGUUAAGUUAAGCUUCUACAGGGCAAGGUUACCCAGGUACAGCAUUUCCUUUUUAACAGAGCUAGCCACACGUUUGAGUCAGUCUUCAGAAAACUGUCCUCUAGUGGCUUCCCUUCUACACUGGUACACCACCACCUCAAGCAAGUAGCGGUAGGUAACAGCAGCACUGUGAUAGGUUGUCGGCCAUUUAAAUUCCCCACAAUGCCCUGGAACACUACUACAUCAACGACAUUGUGGGUAAUUAAAAUGGUGGGUAGCUGGGAGCCCUAGCAGCCUGGCAUGGGGAGCUCAGUAUCCACAUUGGGCUCUACAGCCUCAGAAAUAGCCCAAGGGCACUGAGUGUUUAUGCUGGACAUGCUAGAAGUUAUAUUAUUCAAUUGGUUUUACAAUUGGCUUUUAAAGGUUUGAUCCACAUACCACAUUUGUUUACUAUUUAUUCAUUACAUUUAGAAUCAUAGAAUUGUAGCACUGGAGAGGGCCGCAAGGGUCAUUUUGUCCCACUCCCUGCAAUGCAGGAAUCUUUAACCACAUCCCUAGAGUCACAGCCUUGUUCCUAGUGUGGCAAAUACAUCUGAAAAACAUCUAAGAUCCAUGCCACUAAAGACUUUAUUCUAAAACGGCACAAAAGACCAGACUUAGUAAUGACCACUCUCCCACUUUCUGUGGCCGCACGCAGCACCCCCCGAUCCCUGAGACACCGGCAGAAGUUCCUGGUCCUCCUCCCCACAUCACAGCCCUUUGUGGUUCCUGCCAAACCUCAGCUCAAAUGAACCAAUCCAUGGCAGGCAGAGGCAGAGCCAGCAAAACGGACCGUGAGUGAGUGUGCUGGUCCCGGGGGGAAGGUUACCAUUGGCGUAGUCAAAGUCCGGUCCUGGGUCACUGGUCUGGAAACAGUUCACAAGGAGCGAGGUGAGGUCCGAAGCAGGAAGCCGGGCGGGGACAGGAACACUGGGGGAACAGGACUGGAUGCUGGCCGAGACAGCUCAUCAACGACAUUGCUCCCACAACCUGGGACCGGGCUGACUGGCCUUUAUCUUCUCUGAGGCCAGGGGCGGUCCCGGCCCCCAGGAGACCCGCCUCUCCUGGCCUUAAGGCGAGCACUCCUCCUGGGAGAAACCAGUUCCCUUUGCCUCUCUGCCCUGAGCCUCUGCAGUUCAGGAGAGGCUGAAGGGUUACUGGACCCAGGGGGAGACUCACCUGUAGGCACUGAGUCCUCAACCACCUCCGGAGCCAGAGUGGAUUCACCUGGUGCCUGCUCCUGAGGAUCCGGCACAGGUGCAGGUGCUUCAGAAUCAAGGCCCCGCCCCAGUUCAGCCGGCCCUGGAGGCAGGGACUCCUGUGCAGGCUGGGAUUCCCCUGGUUCAGCCUCUGAAUCGGAUUCCCAGGCCAUCACAGUGAGCAGUCUUCACUCCAGUCCGCUCUUCGCGUAGUUAAAGGGGCGGAGCCUACCUGAGAGUGCACAGUCGGCUCCAGAGCUUCUCCCUCCCUUUGUUUAAUGCUCUUUUAUUACAGAUUAACUUCUUUUUCAGGUAUGCGGGUGCUGCUACGGUCUUAAGAUGGUUGCUGUUAAAGGACCGGGAAGGAAUUUCCCUGCAUUGGCAGGUUUCGCCUUCCCGUAGCAGAUGUCACAACUUUGGCGGUUUUAUGCCUUGUGUGGAAUCUUUUAGCCUAUCUUCGCCUAAAUGGGGGGGGGGGUGAAGCGGUGAUGGGCACCCCCCCACGGCGGCAAUCCCAGGGUUCCCUGUUGAAGGGGCUGUGUCGGAGGGGGACUGGGAGAGAUACACACCCACUGCCUAAGCCAAGGUCUUCUUUACAUCUGAAAGUUUAAAUAAAGUAGUGGCCAAUUUAAUCCCAUAACACAUUGUCAUGGGUCAUUCAUUUCUUCCGGUUGGCUCUUGGGGUUGGGGGGGUUGGGUCUCUGCCUGGGCACGCAAUAGGGAAUUUACAAGCCAGAAAUAUAUGUGCCAGAAUAAAAACCUGUAUCUUAGCAGUUUGUACUUUGCUUGGUUUUCAUCCUCGCAAGAGUCUCUUACCUUGCAAUGUGCUGCAGUGCUCCCCACAUAUUUCUUUAUAUGUUUCCAUAUGCAAAACAUUCAUUCAUUCAUUAACUUAUCUUUCUCACAUAUCCUGCCUUUCUAUCAUUAAGGAACCAAAUCCCUCACUGGAUCAAGGCCUGAAUCUAUAAUAAUAUGAUUGGUGUAGUUGAUCUAUGCUCUUAUAUUCUCAACAGCCCAAUUCAUGUGAGCGAUUUUAUCACACUUGCAUUGUCAUUUUACCCAUCUGUCAACACGGCAAAAUGACAAAAUGACUACAUUCUUAUUUGUGGCUACGAAGUCCGAAUAUUCUGUUUGCAUAUAUAGCAUAAUGACAUUAUUUAUUUUAUCCCGCAGGCUUUGUGAAAGGGAUAUUCCUGAGCUUGUCUCCUUUGUCACAGCCAUAAUAUGCCACGGAUGAUUUGAGGUGAUAGAUCACAGGAAUCCUGCUGGCUCAACCAAAGUGAGGCAAUCCAUAAC
rnacentral:lncRNA from 1 species